AUACGUAGGGGGCAAGCGUUAUCCGGAUUUACUGGGCGUAAAGGGAGCGUAGACGGAAGGCCAAGUCUGAUGUGAAAGCCCGCGGCUCAACUGCGGGACUGCAUUGGAAACUGGUCAUCUGGAGUGCAGGAGGGGUAAGCGGAAUUCCUAGUGUAGAGGUGAAAUGCGUAGAUAUUAGGAGGAACACCGGUGGCGAAGGCGGCUUACUGGACUUUAGCUGACGUUGAGGCUCGAAAGCGUGGGGAGCAAACAGGAUUAGAUUCCCUGGUAGUCCACGCCGUAAACGAUGAAUACUAGGUGUCGGGUUUCUAUAGAGAUUCGGUGCCGCAGCAAACGCAAUAAGUAUUCCACCUGGGGAGUACGUUCGCAAGAAUGAAACUCAAAGGAAUUGACGGGG
rnacentral:rRNA from 1 species